rnacentral:tRNA from 1 species
GAGGUUGUGGCUCAGUGGUAGAGCGCUUGCAUGUGUAAGGCACUGGGUUCGAUUCUCAGCACCACA